rnacentral:lncRNA from 1 species
UGAAUUUAAAACUGCACGUAACGAACUGCGUGAACGUCAUGUGUGUAUUCAUCUCUCAGCUCUGUGCCCACACUUCUGCUGCGGAGGCUGCAGAGGUUUUACUACGUUGGUAAAGUUUCCAGAACUGGUUACCUUCUCAUGGCCCAGAGCUUGGUUCCAAAUGGUGGUUUUAUCAACUGCUUUCUUGUUCGUCCCUGGUGGGCACAUUAUUACCAGGCCCUGGAUUCCUACCACACUGUGUUGACUAGUUUUAUGUCAGCUUGACAUACCUCAACUUGGUAUAAGCUGACAUCAUCUGAGCAGGAGAAACCUCGAUUGAGAAAUGCCUCCGUCGCUGGGGGUAGGGGAGGGGGUGGGGUGGAGGAUGCAUGCCUUUAAUCCUGGAACUCAGGAGGCAGAGGCAGGUGGAUCUCUGUGAGUUUGAGGCCAGCCUGGUCUACAGAGUGAGUUCCAGGACAGCAGAGCUGCAUAGUGAAACCCUGCCUCUCCCCCCAAAAAGAAGGUUGGAAUGGUAAGUGACCCGAAGCUGAGCACAGAAGUUUAAGUAGAAAGAAAAAAAUAAAGAAAAGUUUGAGACUGGAGAGAUGGUUCACCGGCUGAAAGAACUUGCUGCUCUUGUGGAGGAAUUGGGUUUGGUUCCCAGCACCACAAAGCAGCAGCUUGCCCCUAUAACCAGAGCCAAAGGAUCUGAUGCCCUCUUCUGGCCUCUGUGGGCACUGCAUGCAUGUGGUGAGCUUACAUAUAUGCAGGCAAGGCACUCACAUACAUAAAAUAAGAUGGCUCAGCCAGUAAGAGCACUAACUGCUCUUCUGAAGGUCCUGAGUUCGAAUCCCAGCAACCACAUGGUGGCUCACAAACACCCGUAAUGAGAUCUGACACCUUCUUCUAGUGCGUCUAAAGUCAGCUACAGUGUACUUAUUUAUAAUAAUAAUAUAUAAGAAAAUAAAUAAAAUAUAUAAAUAUAAACAAAUAAGACAAAAUAUAUAAAUAUAAAAUAAUAAUAAUAAAUAAUAAAUAAACCUUUGGGUUGACUGGAGCAAGCAGGGGGUCCUAAAAAAUUUAAUUCCCAACAACCACAUGAAGGCUACAGUGUACAUCU